rnacentral:rRNA from 1 species
AGCAGCCGCGGUAAUUCCAGCUCCAAUAGCGUAUAUUAAAGUUGUUGCAGUUAAAAAGCUCGUAGUUGAAUUUCGGGAUCAAUAUGUCGGUCGUGCCUUCGGUACGUACUGGUAUCAUUGGUCUCUCCUUUCUGACGAACCAUGAUGUCAUUAAUUUGGUGUUAUGGGGAGUUAGGACUGUUACUUUGAAAAAAUUAGAGUGUUUAAAGCAGGCUUUAGCUUGAAUACAUUAGCAUGGAAUAAUGAAAUAGGACGUUCGAACCUAUUUUGUUGGUUUCUAGGAUCAACGUAAUGAUUAAUAGGGAUAGUUGGGGGCAUUAGUAUUCAAUUGUCAGAGGUGAAAUUCUUGGAUUUAUUGAAGACUAACUACUGCGAAAGCAUUUGCCAAGGAUGUUUUCAUUAAUCAAGAACGAAAGUUAGGGGAUCGAAGACGAUCAGAUACCGUCGUAGUCUUAACCAUAAACUAUGCCGACUAGGGAUCGGAUGAUGUAAUUUUUUUAAUGACUCAUUCGGCGCC